rnacentral:rRNA from 1 species
CCUACGGGAGGCAGCAGUGGGGAAUUUUGGACAAUGGGCGCAAGCCUGAUCCAGCAAUGCCGCGUGAGUGAAGAAGGCCUUCGGGUUGUAAAGCUCUUUUGUCAGGGAAGAAACGGUGAGAGCUAAUAUCUCUUGCUAAUGACGGUACCUGAAGAAUAAGCACCGGCUAACUACGUGCCAGCAGCCGCGGUAAUACGUAGGGUGCAAGCGUUAAUCGGAAUUACUGGGCGUAAAGCGUGCGCAGGCGGUUUUGUAAGUUUGUCGUGAAAGCCCCGGGCUCAACCUGGGAAUUGCGAUGAAGACUGCAAGGCUUGAAUCUGGCAGAGGGGGGUAGAAUUCCACGUGUAGCAGUGAAAUGCGUAGAGAUGUGGAGGAACACCGAUGGCGAAGGCAGCCCCCUGGGUCAAGAUUGACGCUCAUGCACGAAAGCGUGGGGAGCAAACAGGAUUAGAUACCCUGGUAGUCCAGCCCUAAACGAUGUCUACUAGUUGUCGGGUUUUAAUUAACUUGGUAACGCAGCUAACGCGUGAAGUAGACCGCCUGGGGAUACGGUGCAAGNUUAAAACGUUAAUGAAAUUGACCGGNNGAGAGNGACGAGACGACGACGAGGAGGAGG